UACGUAGGGUGCGAGCAUUGUCCGGAAUUAUUGGGCGUAAAGAGCUCGUAGGUGGCUUGUCACGUCGGGUGUGAAAGCUUGGGGCUUAACUCCAGGUCUGCAUUCGAUACGGGCUGGCUAGAGGUAGGUAGGGGGAGAACGGAAUUCCUGGUGUAGCGGUGAAAUGCGCAGAUAUCAGGAGGAACACCGGUGGCGAAGGCGGUUCUCUGGGGCCUUACCUGACGCUGAGGAGCGAAAGCGUGGGGAGCAACGG
rnacentral:rRNA from 1 species